AGGAAAAUUGAAAUGGGCUGUCAUAUUUGCACAUAUAAAUUGGCUUUCCCCUCAACCGCCCUUUUUAUUGCGUUGCGUCCUCCCCAACCUAAAGGUGCGGAGAGCAGUGUCGAAACUUCAACCCCUCGCCAUCGCCGUCGCCUCAGGUUAUAAGCAUAGGGUAGAAACUAGGGCCUUGAAGCAUGGCAAAGCAUCAUCCAGAUUUGAUUAUGUGCCGGAAGCAGCCAGGAAUUGCAAUAGGACGACUUUGUGAGAAAGAUGAUGGGAAAUGUGUAAUAUGUGAUUCUUAUGUGCGUCCUUGCACACUGGUGCGAAUUUGUGAUGAGUGCAAUUAUGGAUCCUUCCAAGGUCGAUGCGUUAUCUGCGGAGGGGUUGGUAUAUCCGAUGCCUACUAUUGCAAAGAGUGCACACAACAGGAGAAAGAUAGGGAUGGGUGUCCAAAAAUUGUUAAUUUGGGGAGCGCUAAAACAGAUUUGUUUUAUGAACGCAAGAAAUAUGGUUUUAAGAAAAGGUGAAGAGCUGUAGUUUACGUCCCUGCUGUCCAUGUUGCAAACCACGGAUGAAACCAAUCUUAACGGUCCUAAAUAAUUUGAAGUUUGUACUUUGUACCUAAAGAUGUUGCAUGUGGUCAUCAUGAAACUGUGUUGUGAGGAUCGCGUGUAUUUUUGUUACGUUAUGUAGUUAAAAGUUGGAACCUUGAAGUACCUGUUGGAUGCAAAAUGAAUGGCAAAAAGUGUCAUCCCCAUGGUGCGCUGAUUGUUUUUUCAUUGUAUGCUUUUCUUUUUAUUUUUGGGUCAAAGAUCACCAGAUUCAUUAAAAAAGGCCAAAGCCCAAUACAAUAAGUUUUUUUUUUUUAUUGUAUGCUUCAGAAAAGAAUUUCGAUACUUUCUCAUUUUAAAUCGGAUAUUAUUAGCUGAUUAAUUAUGGUGAGACUUGAGAUAGAACUGGAACGUGCACAGCGCAAGUCAGAACCUAAUAAUGUAUUCUAGAAAAGCAGGGUUUUAGAAGUUGGAACUUAUAAAACAAGUGUUGGCCAUUUUCUUCUCAACCUAUUGAAAGCGACCCCGUUGACCCAAACUGGACAGCUGGGAAAGCACUCAUAAGUCUGUGGAAAGAAAUAAGAGAUCCAAGGAAAGAGAAUGGCAAUAUGGCAUGCCAUAUGCACCCACUUGGCACAGUAGUCAACUCUCUUAUUGCAAUUGAUCAUCUGCCACGUGUCACUUCUACAAAAUUGAGCUCCCUAUAUAUAAAUGACAGAUGGCUGUCCCUUCACUCUGUCAUCAAGGGACUCCAGUUUUUAAGUUUCGACAACAUCUGAGGGAAACUGAGGGAGAGAGAUGGGCCUCAGAGUUGGCCUGUGUUUGUGUCUCGUGCUUGUUUUUGCGGUGCUGUGUGAUGGUCGUUACACCAUUUCCGGCUCAGAGAAUGAGAUGGCAAUGCUAGGGAUUGGGGGAAGAUCUCUGAAAGUGACGCUUAAUGAUUACAAUGGGCCGAAGGCAAAUCAGGGGCAUGAUCCUCCUUCACGAGACAACUCCGGUGCUGGCAAGAAACCCUAGCUCUGUGUUUUCAUAAAUAAUAAUAAUAUUCUUCCUCUCAAUAUUAUUAAUAACCUAUUCUCUAUUUCAUAAAUAAUGUCACGUUUCCUUUCAGCAUGGAGAUGUUCUGCAUAAUAACUCGCUCAAUUACAACUGUACAAUAAUAUGUUUGUUUUUUUCA